CCGUGCAAAGGUAGCGUAAUCAUUUGUCUUUUAAAUAAAGACUAGUAUGAAUGGCAUCACGAGAACUAAUCUGUCUCCCUCCCCCAAUCAGUGAAACUGAUCUCCCCGUGCAGAAGCGGGGAUAACAUCAUAAGACGAGAAGACCCUGUGGAGCUUCAAAUCAAAGACCAACUGCUUCUAAUUCCCCAACAAAGAAACAUUAAUGCGGACACCUGGUUCAGGAUUUUUAGCUGGGGCAGCUGUGGAGAAAAAAAAAUCCUCCACGAAGAAUUAUGCCAAGGGCUACCGCCCUAAGCAUUAAUAGAUUAACUUAAUUGACCCUUUUUGAUCAACGAACCAAGUUACCCCAGGGAUAACAGCGCAAUCCACUUUCAGAGUCCAUAUCGACAAGUGGGCU
rnacentral:rRNA from 1 species